AUGCUUCCGUUCUCCCGCCGCACUGGCCGGAGGCUUCGGGAACAAUCUUGGAAAGCAGGGGAAAGGAUCGGCAAAGGCAGGAAAAUCAGCAAAGAA
rnacentral:SRP_RNA from 9 species